ensembl:miRNA gmo-mir-101b gmo-mir-101b
UCAGUUAUCAUGGUACCGGUGCUGUGUCCUUCUAAAGUACAGUACUAUGAUAACUGAAG